rnacentral:rRNA from 1 species
AGUAUCAACGCUGGCGGCGCGCCUAACACAUGCAAGUCGAACGAGAAAGUGGAGCAAUCCAUGAGUACAGUGGCGUACGGGUGAGUAACACGUGGGUAAUCUACCUCUUAGUGGGGAAUAACUUUGGGAAACCGAAGCUAAUACCGCAUAAGCUCGAGAGAGGAAAGCAGCAAUGCGCUGAGAGAGGAGCCCGCGGCCGAUUAGCUAGUUGGCAGGGUAAAAGCCUACCAAGGCAUAGAUCGGUAGCCGGCCUGAGAGGGCACACGGCCACACUGGCACUGAAACACGGGCCAGACUCCUACGGGAGGCAGCAGUGGGGAAUCUUGCACAAUGGGGGAAACCCUGAUGCAGCGACGCCGCGUGAGCGAUGAAGCCCUUCGGGGUGUAAAGCUCUUUCGGCAGGGAAGAUGGUGACGGUACCUGCAGAAGCAGCUGCGGCUAACUACGUGCCAGCAGCCGCGGUAAUACGUAGGCAGCGGGCGUUGUUCGGAGUUACUGGGCGUAAAGGGUGUGUAGGCGGUUGUUUAAGUUUGGUGUGAAAUCUCCCGGCUCAACUGGGAGGGUGCGCCGAAUACUGAGCGACUAGAGUGCGGGAGAGGAAAGUGGAAUUCCUGGUGUAGCGGUGAAAUGCGUAGAUAUCAGGAGGAACACCGGUGGUGUAGACGGCUUUCUGGACCGUAACUGACGCUGAGACACGAAAGCGUGGGUAGCAAACAGGAUUAGAUACCCUGGUAGUCCACGCCCUAAACGAUGCAUAUUUGGUGUGGGCAGUUCAUUCUGUCCGUGCCGGAGCUAACGCGUUAAAUAUGCCGCCUGGGGAGUACAGUCGCAAGGCUGAA